CAAUGAAAUACAUGAAAAUACAUCGUAAUAUAUUAACAGAAAAUAAGUUGCUCAGCCCCAAAAUCAGGCAUCUUUGUUCUAGAUAAUGUAUUACUGUAUUGCUUGUUCACAGCUUGAUAUAGCUCCAAAGCAGGAAGAGUUUCGGUGAGUUUCGAAUCCAAAACAAGCACAGUACCACCAUAUUGACAACUAUCGUCUCUCAAAAUCUAUCAAUUGAGACCACCAUAGUCCAAUGGUAUUAGCGGAAGUUUUCUGCACACGAGUGUAAGUUCGACUCCAAUUACCACCGAAACAUAGUAAGAUUUACGGUGAUUAUAUGAGAGAAAAGACUAAAAAGGAAAGAGAAAAAUAUUAUUUAG
rnacentral:lncRNA from 1 species